AUUGAACGCUGGCGGCAUGCCUAACACAUGCAAGUCGAACGAGUGGCGGACGGGUGAGUAAUGUCUGGGAAACUGCCUGAUGGAGGGGGAUAACUACUGGAAACGGUAGCUAAUACCGCAUACCAUCGGAUGUGCCCAGAGGGGAUUAGCUAGUAGGUGGGGUAAAGGCUCACCUAGGCGACGAGCCCUAGCUGGUCUGAGAGGAUGACCAGCCACACUGGAACGUGGACACGGUCCAUACUCCUACGGGAGGCAGCAGUGGGGAAUCUUGCCCAAUGGACGCAAUCCUGAUGCAGCCAUGCCGCGGGUAUGAAGAAGGCCUUCGGGUUGUAAAGUACUUUCAGCGGGGAGGCGUUACCCGCAGAAGAAGCACCGGCUAACUCCGUGCCAGCCGCCGCGGUAAUUC
rnacentral:rRNA from 1 species